UAACAGGGCACACACAGGAGCAAUGGGCAGAUACUAUGAAUAAAUCCUUGGAGAUUAGAACUCUUGGAUGCCACACAUUCUGUAAGGCUCCCUACCUGCCCAGUGCACCAUGCCGUGAAACGUAACAUCCCAGGCGUGCAAAGAAGCCUCUGAGGGAAGAACUGGGUGAGGAGCUUAGAAGGGAGACGAACCGCGUGGCCCUCGCGGCACUCCAGCAGAGAUGCUGCCUCUGACAGGCCACAUGGAACCCUCGAUGUCCUCGGAACUCUGUCGAGAUGCACAUGCAGGCGGCUCUUGACAACACAGACGGUCAGCAUUGUUCCCUAAUAGAAGUCUAGCAUUUGCAUCUAACGAUGGAGAGUUGUGGGAGUCCCCACCGCUGUCGCAGGUCCGUCCCCGUCACCACACACAGAACAUCUCCACAAGAGAGGUGCUGCGACCCCCACUUCACAGAUGAAGGAAGAGGAACUGAGACGUCGUCUGUCACACGGCCACAAGGUCACGUAAUUGGAUUUGUAGAUUUCCACUGAGAUUCAAAGUGUGUGCUGUGAAUUACGGGACUCACGGCCCAGCCAGUACAGCUCCCUCCCUAAAGUCAGUAAUUGUUUCAAUCUGCUCAAUGAAAACAGCACCCAAGGGGGUAAGAACCAUAAAGCAAUGGCUGGCCGUAACUGACAGGUUCAAAUGUGACCAAAAUUCCAUUUGACUCAAAUGUUCCGACUAGGAAGCUUUAGAUAACAGCAAAUCUACACCUAGUCAUUUUUGAGAGAAGGACUUUAAAGGAUUUUCAGUCCUUAAUUUCUGAAUUUGAACAAACAGCUCCUGGUGAAAAGUGGGAGACCAUCUGGGGUGCAUUGGUCUUAAACCAGCAGCACUGGCCACAAAGCGCCGUCUUGCUCCGAGUCAUUUGAGAUAUCGCCGAAAGCAUCUUUCCAGGUCCCUUUCUGAGGCAGAUAUUUUCGAGAGAUAUUCCUGAGCUCCUAUCCUCCCCGAGUGACGCAGCCCUGGGAGCACUGAGGAGUGGAAAGUGGCUUCCAGGUGCUUUUGGCUGAGCUCCAGAAGGACUCAGAAAUCUGAGCCCAGCAGAAGUGGGUCACAAGCUCAGAACCUCCCCAGAUAUGCAGCUGCCAACCCAUGUCAUUAGCGCCACUCUCCUGAGAGCGA